CUGGCGGCGUGCCUAACACAUGCAAGUCGAACGAAUCAUCUUUGUAGCAAUAUAGAAGAUGGUGAGUGGCGCACGGGUGAGUAAUACAUAGAUGAUCUGCCUUUCAGACUGGGACAACUCAGGGAAACUUGAGCUAAUACCAGAUAAGACCACAUGAAGGGAUUCACGUGACCAAAGGGUGAGCAAUCUCCUGCUGGAAGAUGAGUCUAUGUCCUAUCAGUUAGUUGGUGGGGUAAAGGCCUACCAAGACGAAGACGGGUAGCCGGCCUGAGAGGGUGAACGGCCACACUGGAACUGAGACACGGUCCAGACUCCUACGGGAGGCAGCAGUGAGGAAUUUUCCGCAAUGGGCGAAAGCCUGACGGAGCGACGCCCGCGUGAGGGAUGAAGGUUUUCGGAUCGUAAACCUCUUUUAUCAAGGAAAAAGGCUUUAAUGCGAAUAACAUUAAAGUUUGAUUGUACUUAAUGAAUAAGCCCCGGCUAACUACGUGCCAGCCGCCGC
rnacentral:rRNA from 1 species